AGCGAACGUUAGCGGCGGGCCUAACACAUGCAAGUCGAACGAGAAUGUAGACUUCGGUCUACUAGUAAAGUGGCGGACGGGUGCGUAACACGUGGGUAAUCUACCUUCCGGCGGGGGACAACAGUCCGAAGGGAUUGCUAAUACCGCGUACGUCAGCGGCGACUACGGGCGCUGUUGGGAAAGAUGGCCUCUCCUUGGAAGCUAUCACCGGAAGAUGAGCCCGCGUCCCAUCAGCUAGUUGGUGAGGUCAUGGCUCACCAAGGCUAAGACGGGUGGCAGGUCUGAGAGGAUGAUCAGCCACACUGGGACUGCGAAACGGCCCAGACUCCUACGGGAGGCAGCAGUGGGGAAUAUUGGGCAAUGGGCGAAAGCCUGACCCAGCCACGCCGCGUGAGUGAUGAAGGCCUUCGGGUCGUAAAGCUCUGUGGGGAGGGACGAACAAGCCUGGGGCUAAUCACCCGGGACCUGACGGUACCUCCUUAGCAAGCACCGGCUAACCCUGUGCCAGCAGCCGCAGUAA
rnacentral:rRNA from 1 species